GUAGAUUUCACCGACUAGUUUUGGUGUUCUUUGAGUACUUCAUCUAGUUGAAUCUUCAAAGGUAACUAAAAACUACCAUGCAGCUAGAAUGUGCUCAAAUCUCAUUUAACUCAGUCUCACAUCCUUCAAUCUUGAAUUUUAUAUGGUAGUGCGAUAAAAAUCGCAUUCCAUAUGGAGUAGCCCCCGAGCCUUAGGUUGAAUCAAAAAAUCAAGUUGAGGUUCAAUCUGUAAUUUGCAUCACUUUCCCCUUAAAACCCGAAGUAAAAAACUUUUUGUCAAUGGACACGUGGCACACAUCCCCCGAGCCUUUAGCCGACUAGUUUGGUGGGUAUAAGGUUCACCCUUCGGUCAACGUGACCAUCUCUGGAAGGAGAUCUUAUCUCUUCCUGAAAUAAAGGUUACCGCCAAUCAGGUGUCCGAAAUUCUGGGAUCCUUUAAAUCAAAAAUCCCUUUAUUUGCGCUGUUGUUACCGCACCGCUCUGAUAAAUAAUAACGGAGGAAGUUAUCCCUUCCAUUUUACCUUUGCCAGUUGCCUUUCCAACUUCCACACUUUAACCCUAGCGUCACCAUCAUUGUUUGAUCUUCGAACACUUCCACCAUCGUCUCCC
rnacentral:lncRNA from 1 species